rnacentral:tRNA from 1 species
GCCUGAAUGGCUCAGUCAGUUAAGCAUCUGACUUCAGCUCAGGUCAUGAUCUCACAGUUUGUGGGUUUGAGCCCCAUGUCAGGCU